UACAUGGGGUGCAAACGUUGCUCGGAAUUAUUGGGCGUAAAGCGCACGUAGGCGGUUCGUUAAGUCGGAUGUGAAAGCCCUCGGCUCAACUGAGGAAGUGCACCCGAAACUGGCGAGCUUGAGUACGAAAGAGGAUCGCGGAAUUCCCGGUGUAGAGGUGAAAUUCGUAGAUAUCGGGAGGAACACCGGCGGCGAAGGCGGCGAUCUGGGUCGAUACUGACGCUCAUGUACGAAAGCGUGGGGAGCAAACAGG
rnacentral:rRNA from 1 species